UGGGGAGUGGCCGCUGCAAUAUGCCGUGACCAAGCCGGCUCUUUUUAGGGUGCUUCUGCUCUUGUUACCAGGGGAAUCAAGGACCCAUCGACGCUGGAAGCAUUAGCGGUCAGGGAGGCUUUAGCGCUUGCUGAAGAUCUCAACAUUCGCAUGGUUCAUGUUGCAUCUGAUUGCAAAGUGGUAGUGGAGGACAUCAAGAGCAAAAUGCCAGCUACAUAUGGAGCUAUUUUACAUGAAAUCAUAGAAAACAGUUCCUCGUUUAUUUCUUGUAAUUUCAUGCAUGAGUUUAGGAGCUCGAAUGUCGAGGCUCACAAUCUAGCGAAGCAUAGUUUGAAGUUUGGGGUUGGCCGCCAUGUGUGGUUAGGCAACCCGGGUAAUCUUUCUUUUGUACCUUUGAACAUUGGCACAAGUUAA
rnacentral:rRNA from 1 species